UGAAUUCUCAUCAGCUAAAACACCAUGGAAGGGCUUUUUCAAGCUGGUUCUUCAUAUUUUUAUUACAAGUAAGUUCAAUUCUUGACUAUUUCUUGAAAUUUUUGUAUUUUUAUGACUUUUACAACUAGGCCCACUUGUUAAAUUCAUUAGUUUUUGAUUUUAUGAAAGAAGUUGAAAGUUGAUAUGAAUAUGUGCUGGAAGUAUAUGAUGAUUUAGCAUGAAAUUAGAGCUUUAAAUUGUUCAUAUGCUGAUUUUAUUGAAAGAAUUGAAUAGAAAGUGAAUGUUUGGGACCUAAUAGUAAAAGAGUUUGAAGAUUGAGUUAUAUGUGGAAAUUCUGAAUUUCAAUAGUUUUGUAACAACUUAUAAUGUCUAGUAAAGUACUAAUUGAGAAAAUUAGAUUAAUUGAGGGGUUAAUUGAGAAAGGACCGAAUUGUAUAAACUGUGAAAUUUGGGGCAAAAUGGAAAUCAACAUUUUGCACUAAAGCAGUUUUGGACAGCAGCAGUAGUGUAACUUUGAAAAAUCACCAAAAAUUUUAGAGAUUGAAUUAGAGGAUGAAUAAAAUAUGAAACUAAAUCUUAUUGAGUCUAGUUUCUUAUAAAAGAAAUGAUGUGAGCAAUGGAAUUGUAAAUCAUGAGAUAUAAUAGAUUUUGUGAGACAAGGUCAGAAUGAAUUCGGGUUCCCCUGUUCUGACUUUGGAAAAUCAUUAAAAAUUGUACAAAAAUGAUUAUGAGUUAUAGUUUAUAUGGUUAGAAUCCUUAAUGAGUCUAUUUUUAGAAGAAACAAGCUAAAACAUCAUCCGAAUUCUGUACAAUGAGAUAAUUAAUUUUUAGUGAAGAGUGGUCGGAACUGUCAGACAGCGAAACAGGGGAAACUUUAAAGAAUAAACUGUACUAUUUGGCUGAACCAAAAAUUCUGAAAAUUUUAUGGUAUGAAGAUAUGUGAGUCUAGUUUCAGGGAAAAUUAACGGAUCUUAAUUUGGAGCUCUGUAGCUCCGGAUAAAAAUAAUUUAGUGACUCUGACUCGGAUAAACAGCUUUGAAUAUACAUGUUAGUGAAUAUUGAAAUUAUGGUUAAUGUUGUUUAAGUGUGUUAUACACAUUAAGGAUGUGGAAUGGAGAGGAGGAGGAGGAAAAUUGGGAAAUAUAUGAAUGAUUCGUGUAUAAAUGGUCAUAUGUUUGAUUAUAACUCAUAAACGAUGAAAUAUGAAUGAUGCUUAUUUUUGUGCAUUAUUGGUCAUGGUUUAAGCUCAUGUGUGAAAAUAAAGUUUCAUAGUAUGUGUGUAUGGUAUAUUCAGUAUAUGAUUUGGCAUGAAAUAAUACCAUGAAUGGUUUAUGAAUUAACACAUGUUGGUAAGCCUGAUAUAUGAAUAAAUGAUCAAAUUGAGCGGAACGCCGGAUUUGAGUACUUCUGAUCAAGUGACAAAGUGAUAAGUGGUAGCUUUAGCUACAUUUAUCUGAUCAAGUGACAAGUGGAAAGUGAUAAGUAAUAGCUUCGGCUAUACUUAUCUGAUCAAGUGACAAAGUGAUAAGUGAUAGCUUCGGCUAUAUUUAUCUGAUCAAGUGACAAAGUGAUAAGUGAUAGCUUCGGCUAUACUUAUCUGAUCAAGUGACAAAGUGAUAAGUGAUAGCUUCAGCUACACUUAUCUGAUCAAGUGACAAGUGGAAAGUGAUAAGUGAUAGCUUCGGCUAUACUUAUCUGAUCAAGAGACAAAGUGAUAAGUGAUAGCUUUAGUUACACUUAUCUGAUCAAGAGACAAAGUGAUAAGUGGCUACACUUAUCUGAUCAAGAAACAAAGUGAUAAGUGGCUACACUUAUCUGAUCAGGGAUAAGUGAUAAGUGAUCAUACGUAAGACCAUAGUUAUACUAUGGCAAAGUGAAAGUGAAGUACUCAAUUUUCCGUGGCCGUUCCCUAAUUUGAUUUAGGAUGGUAAGUGACAAAUGGGCCCAAAAGAAUUAAAGUAAAUGGAUAAGUGGUAGUGUAUUUAUAUGAGAACGAUGUUGUUAUUCAAACUAAAGUGAUAUUUUCAUUGCUAAAUUGAGAAUUUCAUAAAUGUGUUAUUGAAUGGUAUAAUCAAUAAACAUUGAGUUAAAUGGUAAAUACGUAUUAGUUUUGAAUUUGAUGUCAUUGAAUUGUACGUGAAUUAAAUGGAAAUUGCUAGUGAUAUGAUUUAAAUUAUGAGCAUGAGAAAUUGCAAAUUGAAUGAAAUGGAAAUGAAGCAUUAAAUUGCAUGAGUAUGUAUCGGGUCUCGCAGGCCCUAAUUAUUAUGAUUAUAAUAUUUUGAGGAUAUAUUGUGAAAAGUUAUAGAAACAUGUUAAUUAUUUUGAAAGUUUUAAUUUUGAUGAAAUUUUAUAACUCGGUUAAAUACGUUUACAAGUGUAUGUGUUUUGGUAAUGCCUCGUACCCUAUUCCGGUGUUGGAUACGGGUAAGGGGUGUUACAAAUUGUGUAUCCGGAAGGGGUGUUGGAGGAUAUCCUCAUCAAGGUAAUUAAACUAUUUUUUCUACAGAUUUUUACAUCAUCGAAAUGGAGGAUGACAACUCAAAAAAUUCCUCGAAUAUUUUACUCGGAAGACCAUUUUUAAGCACUGCACAUACAAAAAUUGAUGUUCAAGGUGGAACUCUAACUAUGGAAUUUGAUGGUGAAGUGGUCAAAUUCAAUAUUUACAAGGAUAUGGAUCAUCCCAAUGCAAUAACAAAUGUCUCUAGUGUUGAUGGAAUUGAACCAUUAAAAAACUUACACUUUGAAAAGGAUAAAUUACAAACUAUGCUUUGUAGGAGUGUAGAUCUCGAUGUUAUGGAAAAACAAGAAGAAUUAUCAUGAACAAAGAACCAAAAUGUGAAGCUGUCAUUUGAAUAGAGGCCCCAAAAUUAGAGCUCAAACCGUUAUCAGAACAUUUAAAGAUUCCGAUAGAGGAAAAGGCAAACCUGAACGGAGAAGCUCAAAGAAGCUUCAAUCCAUCGAUGAUGGAGGAAUCCAAGAAGUGCUUCAAGGAAAAUGGGAAAAGGUUGAAACCUUUCUACGAGAACUUCUAAGUGCACGCAAUGGAAGAAUUAAAUCUCAAGAAGCCAAACAGAUAACAUUUCAGGUCGUCGAUCUAACGACAUUAAACAAAAACGUUUUUUGGAAGGCAACCCAUAUUUAUUUUAAUUUAUUUGAUUUUGAAUUUAAUUUAAUUUAUGUUGAAAAUAAAAAAUAAUAAGAUUAUUAUUUAAUCUAUUUUAAUGUGUUGUUUUUUAGGAACAAUGGUGGAGGCUAUCCCUUUUCAUCCAAAAAUAAAUCAAAAUCGAAUUUCCUUUGUGCCAUGGGCACGCCUUAUCAAAUUUUAGUUUUGUCAUUUUUUUUAAACAUACACCCAGGACCAAACCGACCAGAACCAACCCGAACUAUCCAAACCACCCUCCACAAAAUUAAACAUACACAAGGAGUACACUUGACCCUUCUCUUUCUUAUUUAUUCUUUUAUUAUUGCACAUUGAAGGUAAUAUGGGCUAAGUGGGGGGAUUCAUAAGACAUGCCAUGUCAUUUCUUGUUCUUCUUUGCAUGUGUUAAUUCUUAUACUGAAAUUACUCCUAAUUUGUUUCUAAAUUGAACCUUCAAUUCCUAUGCUUAGUUAAUUCAAAUAAUUUGGGUAAUUCAUGAAUAACUGCUUAUUGCUUAAAUUUGAUCGACAUGUGUUUUGUAGAAUUGAAAAUAUUAUAGCUAAAUCAAACAUUUCAUAAAGAUUGUUGGCUCUUUAAACUUGCUUAAUAAAACUACUCAAUCUCAUUUAAGUAUAAAAAAAGGGGGGAAAAGGGGGUGGGAAUCUGUUAAUGGCUUAGUUAUAAGUGAAGAUUUUGGAAAUGUGACCAAAUUGAGUAACCGAGAUGAAUUUGGGUUGUCAUCUCAUUUCGCGUAAAAAGAUUUGAGUGAUGAACCAAAACUUUUAACACUCCGCUAAUCGUGCUGCCUUGAGAAAGGAGAAAUAAACUGAUUGGGGACAUGUCAAAUUGAGUAACCGAGGUGAGGUGUUUAGGUUGUUGUCUUGUUUUGCAUAAAAAUAUUUGACUAUGCCUCAAACUUGUGGAAAAAUCAUUAAGUACGAUUGUCUCGCAAGUUUGAUGAAGCCUAAAUUUAGUGAAGUAGUUGAAUUUUGCAUAAUGUUAGAAAUUGUAUAAAAUGUUUUUUGGUUGAACCUAGCAAUUACUUAUUUUUUAUUCACCUAAUUGUUUGCAUUACACUUGGUUGAGGAAGGAGGUUUGAUUUCGAAAAAAAUUAUCGAAUGAUUUCUAGUAUAGGAAUACACAUCAUGCUUAAGGACAAGCAUCGGCUAAGUAGAAGAAUUUGAUAACAAACUGAACUUGUAUGUUUAACCCACCCAAUUUCGGUAAUUUUUGCUACUGAGUUUGUAGUUUUUGGUUAAUUUUAGCAGGUACGCAGUUGGAGUAUUAAAAUUUGAGUUAACAAGCAAAUCAGGCUAAAUUGGAGCACAAGCAAUAAAAAGGGGCCGAAUUGAAAAUUUUUUAAAAAUUUAUGAUUGAUCAAAUUUUCUAUUUGACUUUGUGAAAACUAUAUUUAGAAAAAAAAUCUGAUAUAAAAUCUGAUUUUAUGUGGUUGAUUGUUAGAUGAAUUAGACUAAAAUUAGCAUAUGGAAUGUAUAUAAAUACCUUGUGUGGUGGCUUUAGAAAAUAGACUAAAAAUUGAAUAAAAACCAUUUAUUUCUUUUUUAUUUCACGCGUCUUUUAGCAGUACAAGCAUCCUGCCAUUCUUUUUCCGUUUCUUUACUUUGGUUCAAUUGCCUUUAAGUUCCCUCAUUCCUCUACCUAUCACCAUUACACUUAAACCCAUUCUAAUAUUCCAUCAAGCAUGAUUAGUCUCAUGCUCAACUAAAUUCCAUUUAGUUUUAGCUCGGUUAUUAUUUCGACAAAAAAAUCGUGAGACAUGAACUCAUACUAAAAAACCUUUCAACACGAUAUUCAUUAUCUCUCUGGUAUAUGGGAUAGUUACAAUCGUCCAUUAAAGUUGAUUUAAUUUCAGCUCAAAGUGCACGUUGGGUGGGAGCUAUAUUGGCAUACAGUUGGGAAACCGGGUCGGUUGUCUACCGUAUUCGAGUUUCCAAGAACAAAUUAGCAUGUUCAAUUGGAAAAAGCUAGUUGGAUUCCGUCAAGGGAGAUAAUGAUCGAAUUUAAAUGACCCACGUGGUUGAGGCCGUGAAUUCAAGUUGGGUUUUUCUAGAUCGCAAGGCUGUCAAGAUCUUAAAUUGCGGAUGCAUGUUACGUGGUUAGAUAAUCGGAAAGAGUUGGUUUGCAGGUUGUACCGGAACCAACUACAGAAGGAAAAGUUGGCGGUUGUGGCGUUUUUUAUCGUUAUAAUCAACUUAUCGUUUGGAAAGGAAAAUCUACUUUCAAAUAUCAAUUCGAUUUCGGAGUGUACCAAGACUGAAGCUAGGCAUAAAUAUAUUUGAUUCACAGAUUUGAUUUAAUUUCCUUAAUUUAAUUUUGCAAUCAUAAUUCUAUUUUUAUUUUAUUUUUGUUUAUUUUAUUUUCUUUAUCAACUAAAUUCCCCCUUUUAUUUAUUUUACAGCUCUGCAUGCACAGGUCGUGGGCACGACAGCUGCCUAGACUUAGAAAUCUGGUCACAUAAACAAGAAAAUUAGGAAUCUUAAUCCCUGUGGGAUCGACUCUACUACUCUAUACUACUAUUUAAUAAAGUUAGAACAUAGGAAAUUAUAUUUGGUGGUUUCGAAGCCUACCAACCCUA
rnacentral:lncRNA from 1 species